rnacentral:rRNA from 1 species
UACGUAGGGGGCAAGCGUUGUCCGGAAUCAUUGGGCGUAAAGCGCGUGUAGGCGGCUCGAUACGUCUGCUGUGAAAGUCCAGGGCUCAACCCUGGGAUGCCGGUGGAUACUGUCGAGCUCGAGUCCGGAAGAGGCGAGUGGAAUUCCUGGUGUAGCGGUGAAAUGCGCAGAUAUCAGGAGGAACACCAAUGGCGAAGGCAGCUCGCUGGGACGGUACUGACGCUGAGGCGCGAAAGCGUGGGGAGCAAACAGG